UACUACUCCCUCCGUCCCAUA
rnacentral:miRNA from 2 species